rnacentral:tRNA from 1 species
GGGCUGGUAGCUCAGCUUGGUUAGAGCGCACGGCUGAUAACCGUGUGGCCGGGAGUUCAAAUCUCCCCCGGCCCA